AAAGCAAAUAAUUUUCUAAAGAAGGAUACUUUUUGUAAGACUCAAAGGCUAAUUUAGACUUUUUGACUACCUCAUCGCAAAGAUCAUUCCACCAUACCGCUACCUUUAUUUUUUUGUUAUGGCUGCACUGGGAGUUCGAUGACAUUGACGUCUUUACUUUAUUACAUGAAUUUGACAACAGUGAACUGUUUACUAUUUGAAUAAAAUUGUCAUAGUUUAAUAUGGGAUCAUCGCACAUUAAAAAAGAAGAAAAACAUCUAUCACAAUCGUUUCUAAAUCCACACCAAUCUAACUUUUUGAGAUUAAUAGAGGAAAUAAGUGGUUGGGAAGUCACAUUGGUGCAAGGGUUGUGCUCAUCUUCAUUGCGACUACUGUCGUUGUAAUGAUCUAUAAUCAUGGGCACCAGCACAUAUGGAACAAACUUGCUUACUUCUGCAGGAACUGCUUCCGUGACCAAAUUUGUAACAAGUGAAGCAUUGGAGUAGAGGUCUAAUGAAUUCAUGCACAUCCAGCCAAAUAUGGUCAUACGUUACGUGAUCAGGUCGCUGCGUAGAGAGGAAAGUUACUAAAACUGUAGGAAGAGGAUGAAAACUUCCAUCUUCUUUCUUUUUUUUGAAACGUUUAACACCAAUGAUGUCUACAGUAGAUUUUAGGUUAUUUAAGAGAUCUUCCUCAGAUAUUUCAGUAGGAGCUCUUAUAACUCCCUGAGAUUCCAGCUGAUUAUUGGGUAUCCUAGCUUGAAGUUUAUGUUUUUCUAAUAAAUCUUUAUUUAAUAAAAAUUCA